CAAGGGCAGGUGGGGGGCCGGGCUCUGCCCGGGGGCACCCCAAGGCGGCCACCUCAGGCUCACUGACUGUCUCUCUUCUCGGCAGACGUGGCACCACCCUGCGCCCACAGCUCCGCCUGGCCCUGGACCAGCUGUGGGUGCUGAGCAGCGGGAAGCAGGCAGCGGGGGAGCUCAAAGGGGAAGAGGAGGAGGAAGGCAGCGAGGAGGACAGGGCCUCCAUCCUCCUCAUCUGGCCCACCGGCACCUGCGUUGCCACUUUCGGCUCCUGGGCACUGAAGGAGUUGUGGGUGGGCAAGCUGCUGGGGACACCCCGAAGGAGCCAAGAGAGCCCAAGUGACC